rnacentral:lncRNA from 1 species
UGAGAUUUACCUUGUAAAGUAAGAGGAAAGUUAUUAUUUAAUUUCUUUUGUUUUGUUUUGUUUUUUGUUUUUGGGGAUUUAAGUGAAGCAGAGGUUUGAUAUUUUGAGAGUUGAUACUGUAGAAAACGAUGCUGGGAAGGUAAUGAUUGCCAUGCAAAAGAACAGAAGGAGAAGAGUAAAACGACGUAGUUUGGUCAGACACUGUGCAUCAAACGAAACCGCUGGUUCUAUACCAAGGGAAAUGAUACUUCCAAGGGGAGGAGAACCCCCAAAAGCAGAAGGGUGGGAGAAAAGUUUUUUUAGCAAAUAUUUUAUCUCUGCAGUCUCCAUUUACCGAACAAAGCUAUGGGAGUUAAAAGUUCUUCAAAUAAGGUUCUCUCUCACUAAAAAUAGCAACCACAAAGCUUCAUUCUUCCAUGGAGUUUGGGACACGCAAAUCUUUUUCCCUUGAGUCGUGUCUGCUUCGCCAUUUUAUUAUACCUCCUUACCUGUACUUUUAACUGUUUAGCGGUAAAGCAAAAACUCUCCAUCUCUCUUCCUCAUAAUCUCAUUCACACAAUCAUUCGGGUAACUUUUAAACUUUUAGCUUUCUUCUUUGGUCACUAGAGUAUGUUCCUUUUUCAGUGUAUUACUUCUCUUUUUUUUUUUUUUUUUUUCUUCUUUUCGUUUUUGGUAAUUUUUAUUUGAUUCUGUGUUUUACUGGGUCUGUCUCGCGUUGAGCAUUUUAACUCGUUAUUUGAGUGGUUCUUCUUGAAAUCCAUUUGGGUUAUGCACCUUGGGGCUUUUCAAUUGCCUUUUCACUGAGUUUACUCUAAUGGGUUUUCCUUUUUUGAUUCAUUUUGACUUCAAUUUCAGGUGUGAAAGAAGGGAUUUUUUGUGGAGGUUGAAGUUCUCCUCGUUGACAUUUAGAUGUGUACAGUGCUUGUCAAGUUCUAACAAUGGUUAAUAGUAUGUGGAUUUCAGCAUAUUUGAGAUUUCAGAGAUUUGUGUAUAUGCCUACCAAAUUUUGAGGGAGGCUGGUCUAAGUGGGUUUCAGCUUAUUUAAGCUCUCUGAAAUUUGUAAAUAUGGCUACCAAGUUUUGAGGGCGGUUGGUCUAAUUGUCUUGCUAGCGUUGUAGUAGGUUUUGUAUGUGAUCUCUUAAACUGUGAUUUUCCUUCUAGUAAUGGAGUCUUGGAGCUAUGUUUCUGGAGGGAAAGUUUCCGUUUCUAAUGAAACAAUUUCGGUUUCUGAUUCGUUUUCGAGGAGUAAAAGUGCUUUGAUCAGUUGGGAUUUAAAAUCUCCUUACAGUUUUGGCAACUCCAUGUUAGUCUCAGAUCAACAAGCUCUGAGGAAUCAGGUUUUUGGGCAAUUGGGUUUUCAGAAUUAUUGAUAGGAAGGCAGUUACCCACAAUGAU